rnacentral:lncRNA from 1 species
UUAUUUUGUAUUUUUGAAUUUUGCAAUUUUGCUCUAGAUGUUCCAACAUCCGACUAAAAUAUUUUUAUACCUAGAAAAAUUAACACCCCCCACCUUUUCCUCAUUCUUUCUCUCCUCACAAUCAUCUCCAAAAACAACUGAGUUCACCUUGUCAUUGCACCUCUCGAAGAACCAUGCCGUCAGGGACAGAGCCAUGUGGAAGCCAACAGUGGCCAUGGCCCCUCCCCGCCCCCCGUAUUUUUAAAAUUAUAAGAAAAUUCAUUACUAAGCUAUUGAGAAAAUUAAAAUAUUGCAAACUUAGGGGACCAAAAUGAAAUUUUGUUGAAAAAAUUUGCUGGCUUGUGGGCCAAGACUUCACUCUCCACUCAAGGCAUUCAUGACGCCGCCGCCCGCGCGCCUCCGCAUGCUGACACGCCCACAGGCACACAUAAAGAGUAAUCUCUCUUAAUCUCUCUCUCUCUCUCUCUCUCUCUCUCUCUCUCUUUCACAAAUCCUAAUUGCUCUUCUCUCUCAAUCUGUCUCCCCGACCCCCGCCUC